rnacentral:rRNA from 1 species
GACGAACGCUGGCGGCGUGCUUAACACAUGCGAGUCGAACGGAAAGGCCCUGCUUUUGUGGGGUGCUCGAGUGGCGAACGGGUGAGUAACACGUGAGUAACCUGCCCUUGACUUUGGGAUAACUUCAGGAAACUGGGGCUAAUACCGGAUAGGAGCUCCUGCUGCAUGGUGGGGGUUGGAAAGUUUCGGCGGUUGGGGAUGGACUCGCGGCUUAUCAGCUUGUUGGUGGGGUAGUGGCUUACCAAGGCUUUGACGGGUAGCCGGCCUGAGAGGGUGACCGGCACAAUGGGGGAGAGGAAAGGGCCAAGACUCCGGGGGGGGGCAGGGGGGGGGAGAGUUGACAAAGGGGCGGAGGCCGGAGGCAGCAACGCCGGGGGGGGGAGGGGGGCCUUGGGGUGUGAAACCGCUUUCGCCGGGGAAGAAGGGGGAGGGAGGGUAAGGGAUAAAAAAGACCCGGCUAACUACGGG